AUUGAACGCUGGCGGCAUGCUUUACACAUGCAAGUCGAACGGUAACAGGCCGCAAGGUGCUGACGAGUGGCGAACGGGUGAGUAAUGCAUCGGAACGUGCCCAGUCGUGGGGGAUAACGCAGCGAAAGCUGCGCUAAUACCGCAUACGAUCUAUGGAUGAAAGAGGGGGACCGUAAGGCCUCGCGCGAUUGGAGCGGCCGAUGUCAGAUUAGGUAGUUGGUGGGGUAAAGGCUCACCACGCCAACGAUCUGUAGCUGGUCUGAGAGGACGACCAGCCACACUGGGACUGAGACACGGCCCAGACUCCUACGGGAGGCAGCAGUGGGGAAUUUUGGACAAUGGGCGCAAGCCUGAUCCAGCAAUGCCGCGUGCAGGAAGAAGGCCUUCGGGUUGUAAACUGCUUUUGUACGGAACGAAACGGCUCUGGUUAAUACCUGGGGCUAAUGACGGUACCGUAAGAAUAAGCACCGGCUAACUACGUGCCAGCAGCCGCCGUAACAC
rnacentral:rRNA from 1 species